GACAGAGGGUGCAAACGUUGCUCGGAAUUACUGGGCGUAAAGGGCGUGUAGGCGGGAAGGCAAGUCGGGCGUGAAAGCCCCAGGCUCAACCUGGGAACUGCACUCGAAACUGCCUUUCUUGAGUGCCGGAGAGGAAAGCGGAAUUCCUGGUGUAGAGGUGAAAUUCGUAGAUAUCAGGAGGAACACCAGUGGCGAAGGCGGCUUUCUGGACGGU
rnacentral:rRNA from 1 species